rnacentral:rRNA from 1 species
UACGUAGGGUGCGAGCGUUGUCCGGAAUUAUUGGGCGUAAAGGGCUCGUAGGCGGUUUGUCGCGUCGGGAGUGAAAUCCACUGGCUUAACUGGUGGCUUGCUUUCGAUACGGGCAGACUGGAGGUAUGCAGGGGAGAACGGAAUUCCUGGUGUAGCGGUGAAAUGCGCAGAAUAUCAGGAGGAACACCGAUGGCGAAGGCCAGGUC